UCCGCGGUAAUGGAGGCUAGGGAUGGGUGCUGAAGUAUCAGGCUCUGGCUCUAGCUUUAGCUCUGGCACUGGAACUGCGUCGGAGUCUGGGUCUGAGUCUGGCAGCCCGAAGCCUGGACACCUUUUCUUGAUUCUCUAGGCGGGGGCUGCCUGCGUCCAAGCAGCUGGUUUGCAGCGUUCCAACGCUGGGAGGGAGUUCCCUUACCUGGGGUCCAGUCUGUAAAGUUGUCGCCGCUUUCUAGGGACCCCGCCCCACCGGCUGGGACUCUUCCAUGCAGUUGAAACUGGUUGACAACCAUUAACCUGGGUUGCAACUACAGGUGGCACUGGAAGCAGACUGGUUCCUGGACAUGCCCGGUGGAAGGAGGGGCCCUAGUCGGCAACAGCUAAGCCGUUCAGCUUUACCUUCUUUGCAGACUUUGGUUGGUGGAGGCUGUGGCAAUGGAACAGGCUUGAGAAACAGUUUUCUCUUUCAGGAAUGGUAGUGCUAUUGGCCUUCCAGUCCCACCUAUCACAGCCUUAAUCACCCCAGGUCCUGUUCGUCAUUGCCAAAUUCCUGACUUGCCUGUGGAUGGGAGCCUACUCUUUGAAUUCCUUUUUUUCAUCUACCUGUUGGUUGCUCUUUUCAUUCAGUACAUCAACAUUUAUAAAACAGUGUGGUGGUAUCCUUACAAUCAUCCUGCUUCUUGUACAUCACUGAAUUUUCAUCUCAUUGAUUAUCAUCUGGCAGCAUUCAUCACAGUGAUGCUUGCGAGGAGGCUUGUAUGGGCUCUCAUCUCAGAGGCUACUAAGGCAGGUGCAGCAUCAAUGAUUCACUACAUGGUUCUGAUAUCAGCUCGCUUGGUACUACUCACUUUGUGUGGAUGGGUACUUUGUUGGACCCUCGUCAAUCUCUUUCGAAGCCAUUCAGUCCUCAAUCUCCUUUUCCUUGGCUACC
rnacentral:lncRNA from 1 species